GCCAUGUGGUGUGUGUCGUCACAGGUGUGGGAUGUCUCACUUGGGGUCAGCCUGGAACUGCUGUGCCCUGCUACGUGGAUCAGUGGGUAGAUGGCAUAUGGCUCCGAGUCUCAUGUCAACCUGUCAGUUCCCUUAGACAGUCGAGCCGAUGGCUGUACAGUCGGUGAGCAGGAUGGUCUUGCGAUGCCCUGCUUGGGUGUAUAGAGUGCCGGCUAGGUAGAGUAGCAAAGAGUGUCUAGGGUUUAGAGGUUUUUGGCUUUCCUUGUGAGCAAUCCCUAAAUGUUUGAGAGCUGAGUGUUUGAGCAUUUCCCCAUUUCAUUUGCAGGGGCGGUCUUGGGAGCAGCUGAAGAGAGAGGAGCCUUGUAGGUAUCCCAGAAGAUGAGAGCCACAGUGUCCGACUCCGGUCAGAGCCAGCGCCCCGAGGACCUGCCUCGGUGACAUUGACUCCUAGUAGUCUGACGAUGGCAGGAACCUCUGAGCCAGCCCAGGUGCCCCUGCUGUGCACGAAAGAUGGCUUCGCAUGGCCGGCUCUCGGAAAGAUAAGUGCAGGGCAAAGACCCAGAGAGGGGUUGGGAGUCGGGGCGAGUAUGUGCCUCGCCUGGAGGGAUUUUUGAAAUUAGUCCGGUGCAAGGGGUAUGCGGGAACAGGUUAUUUGGACGCAUCGAAGGAAGGGCUUACUUUUUCUCGUUGGAUUCACGUGUGCAGGUCAGGACAGUUCGGGUCCGUGUCACGUCCUUAGUCUCGUCCGUGUUUUGUGUCACGUGGUGUGUGUCGUCACAGGUGUGGGAUGUCUCACUUGGGGUCAGCCUGGAACUGCUCUGCCCUGCCACGUGGAUCAGUGGGUAGAUGGCAUGUGGCUCCGAGUCUCAGGUCAACCUGUCAGUUCCCUUAGACAGUCGAGCCGAUGGCUGUAGAGUCGGUGAGCAGGAUGGUCUUGCGAUGCCCUGCUUGGGUGUAUAGAGUGCCGGCUAGGUAGAGUAGCAAAGAGUGUCUAGGGUUUAGAGGUUUUUGGCUUUCCUUGUGAGCAAUCCCUAAAUGUUUGAGAGCUGAGUGUUUGAGCAUUUCCCCAUUUCAUUUGCAGGGGCGGUCUUGGGAGCAGCUGAAGAGAGAGGAGCCUUGUAGGUAUCCCAGAAGAUGAGAGCCACAGUGUCCGACUCCGGUCAGAGCCAGCGCCCCGAGGACCUGCCUCGGUGACAUUGACUCCUAGUAGUCUGACGAUGGCAGGAACCUCUGAGCCAGCCCAGGUGCCCCUCCUGUGCAUGAAAGAUGGCUUCGCAUCCCCGGCUCUCGGAAAGAUAAGUGCAGGGCAGGGCCCCAGAGAGGGGUUGGGAGUCGGGGCAAGUCUGUGCCUCGCCUGGAGGGAUUUUUGAAAUUAGUGCGGUGCAAGGGGUAUCCGGGAACAGGUUAUUUGGACGCAUCAAAGGAAGGGCUUACUUUUUGUCAUUGGAUUGACGUGUGCAGGGCAGAGCA